CCCUGCGCGAGGUCUGAUGGGUGACCGUCGCGGCUCUCCUACUCGCCGCCGCACCUUCAGGCCUGCAGCCGCACUGCCCGCGACCGGCCGGCUCCGCACGACCUUUUAAAGAACAGUGGUGGAACAAGAUGCUGAGUCUGGGGUGUUUUCAUCCUGGGCUUUCCUUCAAGGGCUUCCUGACAACAGUGGACAUCUUUUGAGAGACUAAAAAGCUUUCAGAUUCUGCUAUCACUUUUGAGUUCCAGCAGCAGAGACAUAACCAAGCAUCAGUAGCUACUUCUGUGGCCAUGCACUUCUAGAAAGCACGAAGCUUGUGCUCACCAUCCACGUUGAUGAGUUUCUGACAGCCACUGGCAGAGAAGCUACUCAGCUUCAUUAUGAUACAGCUGAUUAACCUAGGAGGCUCCAUGGAAAAACAAGCAAGAUGCAGUACUCUUUAACACUAGUAAACCUCUAAGGGGUAAACUACAGAAUGCAG